rnacentral:tRNA from 1 species
UGUGGAUCUGGAGCAGGUGGUGGUCCGUCCGCUGACACCGGACCUGGGUAACACGCCGGCGUUGCUGUUCGGCGGCGAUCCACAGC